rnacentral:rRNA from 1 species
CAUGCAGUCGAACGGCAGCACGGGGGCAACCCUGGUGGCGAGUGGCGAACGGGUGAGUAAUACAUAGGAACAUGCCCAGUAAUGGGGGAUAACGCCGAGAAAUCGGUGCUAAUACCGCAUACGCCCUGAGGGGGAAAGCGGGGGAUCUUCGGACCUCGCGUUAUUGGAAUGGCCUAUGUCUGAUUAGCUAGUUGGUGAGGUAAAGGCUCACCAAGGCUUCGAUCAGUAGCUGGUCUGAGAGGAUGAUCAGCCACGCUGGAACUGAGACACGGUCCAGACUCCUACGGGAGGCAGCAGUGGGGAAUUUUGGACAAUGGGCGAAAGCCUGAUCCAGCCAUUCCGCGUGAGUGAAGAAGGCCUUCGGGUUGUAAAGCUCUUUCGGCAGGAACGAAACGGUUACGGUUAAUAAGCGUGACUAAUGACGGUACCUGAAGAAGAAGCACCGGCUAACUACGUGCCAGCAGCCGCGGUAAUACGUAGGGUGCGAGCGUUAAUCGGAAUUACUGGGCGUAAAGCGUGCGCAGGCGGUUUUGUAAGUCAGAUGUGAAAGCCCCGGGCUUAACCUGGGAAUGGCGUUUGAAACUACAAGGCUAGAGUGUGUCAGAGGGGGGUAGAAUUCCACGUGUAGCAGUGAAAUGCGUAGAGAUGUGGAGGAAUACCGAUGGCGAAGGCAGCCCCCUGGGAUAACACUGACGCUCAUGCACGAAAGCGUGGGGAGCAAACAGGAUUAGAUACCCUGGUAGUCCACGCCCUAAACGAUGUCAACUAGUUGUCGGGAGGGUAACCCUCUUGGUAACGCAGCUAACGCGUGAAGUUGACCGCCUGGGGAGUACGGUCGCAAGAUUAAAACUCAAGGAAUUGACGGGGGCCCGCACAAGCGGUGGAUUAUGUGGAUUAAUUCGAUGCACGCGAAAACCUUACCUACCCUUGACAUGUACGGAACUUGCCAGAGAUGGCUGUGCUCGAAGAGACGUACACAGUGCUGCAUGCUGUCGUCAGCUCGUGUCGUGAGAUGUGGUAGUCCGCACGAGCGCACCUGUCAUAUGCAUCAUCAGUGG